ACAAACAAUAUAGAUGUCUCUAUUAGGAUCAAGGGCGUCUGAAUCCAAUAGAGACGCGGUAUAUCAAAUUGGACAAGAUAAUCAUAUUAUUGCCAUAUUUGUUGGAACCCUAUGGAAAAGUUAUAGAGGCCAAACACCCCUUCUAAGUAGAUCAUCAGCAUGUCGGUGGUACAUCAAGGAAGAAAAUAUUCCAGAUAUCAAAAAUUUCUAUGCAUGGUAAUAAGAAAAAUGUUACCAAGUAAUAUAUCCAACUUACAAUGUAAUCUUUAUAAUUAUAACUGCUGACAUUAUUUUUUUCUAAUUUUAGUCUACUUGAUGAAAUUGAUCCAGUGGAGAAGCUGCAGCUAACUAAUGACCAGAGUAUCCAACCACAAGUUAAACAAGCUACUCUUGUACAGCUGAAAGAUAUUGAUCCAUUCGAAGAGAUGGUACAAACUGUGUCUAAUGGGAAGUGACGAAACUUAUGGACUCGAAUUUGUUCUAUUUGACCAAAGAGUCAGCAACUAAUUGUAAAACCUUGUUAGAAACUUUUGGCUCUUUACCACCGAUUCGAUAUACCUCCUGAUAUAUCAGCACUGAUUGGUCACAAAUAUACCUUCAGUGUCAAGAUUUCAGCCAAAAAAAAGUAUCGAUGAUGAUAAGCCAUCAUUUGAAGUUAUAUAUAUCAAAGAACUGUUUGGAAGACAGCCAAGAAUACCAACAGCUCGACAAAGUGAUAAUAUUAGGACUUUACCACUAGCAUCAAGAUCAUCUUCUACUAAAAAAAAUCAACCAAACAAGUUGAGAUACAGGUUGCAUUAAUCUGCCUUAUUCAAUAUUAUCUUGCAAUUUAUAAUAUACAAUUACUAUUCAAAUAACUAAAUUUAUGUACAGGAAAGCUCCAACAGCUUAUCUCAUUUGCAUAUUGAUGAUGAUAGCAUGGAAAUUGAGCAGAAACAGUAAGAGCUCCUACGACCAUAUAUAACAAAACUAAGAUUAUAAAUCUCAGCAUUACUGACCUAUUCUUUAAUAUUGUACUCGAAUGAAAUCAAAACGCAAGGUAUCCAGCUUCAUCAGAUACAACUACAAGAGACCCUGUGCAUCUACAACAGCAGAGUCACAGAUAAUUUUUUUCCUCUUUAGUUUUGAUGGCUCUAUAAUCAUUGGAAACCUAAUUGUACAAGAGACUCAUCAUAAAGACUAUCCAAUUUUCUCAUGUAGCACAAUUAUCAUAGAUAGUGAGAUUGAUCUGUAUGGUUGUUAGGACCUCAUGAUUUCAUUAUCUAACACCAUACACAAAUUAUUAGGGUGACCAAAAUGAAGAUGACCCGGAAACAAAAUCAGAAAGAAGAGCUCUGGCCACACCAAAAAGCCUAAGCAGCAAUAAGUUUCAUUCAGACUUUGAACAAGCUGCAGAAUCAUGUGAUUCUUAGAUAUUGAAGACAUCUAUAGGAUAACACUUGGUUUUUUGUGUUAGUUCCACUUAAUUACUAUGCAUACUUUAAGAUGUUGAUGUCUCUGGUGUUACCUCAUUUUGGACCAUGGUGGACAUACUUUACAGCUAAUGUAAAGCUCUAAUAGUUCUGCCUUUUGGUACGGCUAAACGACCUCAAUCUUGUGUAUAUUUUAUCACAACUAAUGUAAACCUCUAAUAGUUCUGGCUCUUGGUAUGGCUAGAUGACCUCAAUCCUAUGUAUAUUUUACUGAACUACCUACAAGACUAAAGUUAAAGAUGAGUCUGGCACAACUUGUAAGCUAUCUACCUCUGUAUGUAGUUAUCUCUACCUUUUGCGUAUGUAAUAAAAGUUAUUAUACAAUCUAUUAAAAAGUUUGUAAAAGAAACAGUAUUUCCUCCUCUUUUGUCAGUGACUGGCCACCCUGCGUGCUAACGGCGCGCUAUUUUCUACUGACAUCUGACACAAGCUUAUCAGAGUACAGGAGUUACCCACAUAAGCAUGUGCUUCAUCACCCAUAUCUAGUAUCCGUCUAAAUCUUAUCCAUUAGAGCACCAGUCUGUAGUCAUCCUUGACUGGAACCCCCACCGUCCGACCAUCCUCGCCCGCCGCCUGUCCAUGGUAUUCCCCUCCAUCUCUUCUUUCUCCCCUCCAUGCUCCUUCUCUUCUUUCUCCCCUCUCCCAUGCUUAGCGGUGGGUGCAUCUUGAGACAUGGGUAUGCAAAAGUGCAUCCAAUUUUUUUUUAAAAAAGUUGACUAUAUAUUAUAUGUAAUAGUUGUUGAUAUCAAUAGUUUUUAAAAUUUAAUAAUUAUGUGUUAUAUUUCGACUCAACAGACCAUCAAUACUUUCUUAAGUCUUUUCUCACUAUCACACUUCACCAUCUUAAAGCAUAAUUAGUUCCCGGUAGAGUAAAAGCAUAUCGGAUUUGGACAGAUAAUGCUCUUACCAUAUUCGAAUCCAUUUUUUUUGUUGGAUUCAGAGUUAGAAGCGGAUAUUACAGAUAUGGAUUGUUUUGGAGUUGGAGUCAGACCAUAAACGGGCUAAAAUAGUUGGAUAUUACUCGC